GUGGGGAAUAUUGCACAAUGGGCGAAAGCCUGAUGCAGCAACGCCGCGUGAGGGACGACGGCCUUCGGGUUGUAAACCUCUUUUAGUAGGGAAGAAGCGAAAGUGACGGUACCUGCAGAAAAAGCACCGGCUAACUACGUGCCAGCAGCCGCGGUAAUACGUAGGGUGCAAGCGUUAUCCGGAAUUAUUGGGCGUAAAGAGCUCGUAGGCGGUCUGUCGCGUCUACUGUGAAAACUGGAGACUCAACCUCCAGCCUGCAGUGGGUACGGGCAGACUAGAGUGCGGUAGGGGAGAUUGGAAUUACUGGUGUAGCGGUGGAAUGCGCAGAUAUCAGGAGGAACACCGAUGGCGAAGGCAGAUCUCUGGGCCGUAACUGACGCUGAGGAGCGAAAGCGUGGGGAGCGAACAGGAUUAGAAACCCCGGUAGUCC
rnacentral:rRNA from 1 species